AGCUUGUUGGCGGGGUAACGGCCCACCAAGGCAACGAUCAGUAGGGGUUCUGAGAGGAAGGUCCCCCACAUUGGAACUGAGACACGGUCCAAACUCCUACGGGAGGCAGCAGUGAGGAAUAUUGGUCAAUGGACGAGAGUCUGAACCAGCCAAGUAGCGUGCAGGAAGACGGCCCUAUGGGUUGUAAACUGCUUUUAUAAGGGAAUAAAGUGAGAGUCGUGACUCUUUUUGCAUGUACCUUAUGAAUAAGGACCGGCUAAUUCCGUGCCAGCAGCCGCGGUAAUACGGAAGGUCCGGGCGUUAUCCGGAUUUAUUGGGUUUAAAGGGAGCGUAGGCCGGAGAUUAAGCGUGUUGUGAAAUGUAGGCGCUCAACGUCUGCACUGCAGCGCGAACUGGUUUCCUUGAGUACGCACAAAGUGGGCGGAAUUCGUGGUGUAGCGGUGAAAUGCUUAGAUAUCACGAAGAACUCCGAUUGCGAAGGCAGCUCACUGGAGCGCAACUGACGCUGAAGCUCGAAAGUGCGGGUAUCGAACAGGAUUAGAUACCCUGGUAGUCCGCACGGUAAACGAUGGAUGCCCGCUGUUGGUCUGAAUAGGUCAGCGGCCAAGCGAAAGCAUUAAGCAUCCCACCUGGGGAGUACGCCGGCAACGGUGAAACUCAAAGGAAUUGACGGGGGCCCGCACAAGCGGAGGAACAUGUGGUCUAAUUCGAUGAUACGCGAGGAACCUUACCCGGGCUUGAAUUGCAGAGGAAGGAUUUGGAGACAAUGACGCCCUUCGGGGCCUCUGUGAAGGUGCUGCAUGGUUGUCUCAGCUCGUGCCGUGAGGUGUCGGCUUAAGUGCCAUAACGAGCGCAACCCCACUCCUUAGUUGCCAUCAGGUUAAGCUGGGCACUCUGGGGACACUGCCACCGUAAGGUGUGAGGAAGGUGGGGAUGACGUCAAAUCAGCACGGCCCUUACGUCCGGGGCUACACACGUGUUACAAUGGCAGGUACAGAGAGACGGUUGUACGUAAGUACGAUCAAAUCCUUAAAGCCUGUCUCAGUUCGGACUGGGGUCUGCAACCCGACCCCACGAAGCUGGAUUCGCUAGUAAUCGCGCAUCAGCCAUGGCGCGGUGAAUACGUUCCCGGGCCUUGUACACACCGCCCGUCAAGCCAUGAAAGCCGAGGGCGCCUAAAGUCCGUGACCGUAAGGAGCGGCCUAGGGCGAAACUGGUAAUUGGGGCUAAGUCGUAACAAGGUA
rnacentral:rRNA from 1 species